rnacentral:rRNA from 1 species
UAAGAUAACUUUGUUUGAAUUUAUAUGAAGGACCACCUUCAAAAUCUAAAAUAUUCAAUAAUCGAUAGUGAACAAGUACUGUAAAGGAAAGAUGAAAAGUAACUGAAUCGUGCUGAAAUAGUUAUUGAAAUUGAACACUUAAAAUCAGUCAAAGUUUUUUACAAAAUAAAGAAUAAUGAUGUACCUUUUGUAUAAUGGGUCAGUGAGUUAAUUAAUUUAGCAAGCUUAAGUUAAAAAAUGUAGGCAUAGCGAAAGCGAGUUGUAAAAGGCGUUAGUUAAAUUAAUUAAACCCGAAACUAGGUGAUCUAACUAUGAACAGGUUGAAAAGGUAGUAAAAUACUUUGGAGGACCGAACCCGUGUCUGUUGCAAAAGAUUGGGAUGAUUUGUGGUUAGGGGUGAAAGGCCAAUCAAACCUAGAUAUAGCUGGUUUUCUGCGAAAUUUAUUUAAGUAAAGCAUUACGUUAAUUGCAUUAAGGGGUAGAGCACUGGUUGAAUGAUGGGAAUUGAAUAAAUUUUACUGAAUUCAGAUAAACUCCGAAUACUUAAUUGCAUGAUGUAGUAGACAGACAUAAGGUGAUAAGAUCUUGUGUCAAAAGGGAAACAGCCCAGAUUAUAAGCUAAGGUCUUUAAAUUUUAGUUUAGUGGAUAAGGAUUUAUUAUUACUAUUACAACCAGGAGGUGGGCUUAGAGGCAGCCAUCCUUUAAAGAAAGCGUAAAAGCUCACUGGUCUAAUAAUUGAAAAAUGUUUUAUGAAUCCAAAAAUGUAUAGAGACUUUAAAACUAAAUACCGAAGCUAUAAAUUAAAUUUUAAAAUAAUUUAAUGGUAGCAGAACGCUCUGUAUGCUUUUGAAGAUAAAUUGAAAAAUUUAUUGAAGGUAUCAGAAAUGAGAAUACUGACAUGAGUAACAAUAAACAGUGCAAAAAAUAGUUUGGAUAGAAACACUGUCGCCAAAAAUUCAAGAUUUUCUACGGUAGGUUUAACCUCGUAGAGUGAGCCGGUCCCUAAGACGAAGGUGAAAACUUUAGUCGAUGGGUUACAAGAUUAAUAUUUCUAGGCUAAGACGUUUAAGUGACUAAGAAUACGAGACUGCCGGGCAUGCUCUAAGAGUAAAAAGGAAAACGGCCCCGCGUAAAUCGCCUUGUCAAGAGGAGGCUCUCGUCUUCCGUAUCAUGUGGGGUCGCAGCCGUAAUUCUUACUAGAAAAAACUUGUCAAAUAUGCAGAUUAAAUCCCUGCAGUGCUAGACCGUAUUAAAUCCGACACAGGUGAAUUGGUAGAGAAUACUAAGGCGUAUGAGAUAACAAUGUUGAAGGAACUCGGCAAAAUGACUCUGUAACUUCGGGAAAAAGAGUACUUUAUUGGGUUUGGGGCGCGAAGAGCAAAUAACGAAAUAAAUUUGUGAAAUGUACUGACAGUCUUCGCCGCUCAAGAAGUGUAACAAAAUCGGGGGUAGCGACUGUUUAAUAAAAACACAAGACUCUGCUAAAUUGAAAGAUGAUGUAUAGGGUCUGACACCUGCCCGGUGCUGUAAGGUGAAUAAAGAAGAUUAGUUAAUGAUUAAUUUUUUUAAUAAGCCUCAGCAAACGGCGGCUGUAACCAUAACGGUCCUAAGGUAGCGAAAUUCCUUGUCGGGUAAG